AAGUGUUUCUACAUUUCGGCUGCUUUCAAUAUUCUGCGAAAAAACAAGGAAUUGCUUGUUGAUUUUAAAACAAAUGAAAGGAAAU